rnacentral:rRNA from 1 species
AUUGAACGCUGGCGGCAGGCCUAACACAUGCAAGUCGAACGAGUGGCGGACGGGUGAGUAAUGUCUGGGACACUGCCUGCUGGAGGGGGAUAACUACUGGAAACGGUAGCUAAUACCGCAUACCAUCAGAUGUGCCCAGAUGGGAUUAGCUUGUUGGUGGGGUAACGGCUCACCAAGGCGACGAUCCCUAGCUGGUCUGCGAGGAUGACCAGCAAAACGGGAACUGUGACACGGUCCAGACGCCUAGGGGAGGCAGCAGGGGGGAAUAGUGCACAAUGGGCGCAAGCCUGAUGCAGCCAUGCCGCGUGUAUGAAGAAGGCCUUCGGGUUGUAAAGUACUUUCAGCGGGGAGGCGUUACCCGCAGAAGAAGCACCGGCUAACUCCGUGCCAGCCGCCGCGGUAAUUC